CAUUACUGAGUUACCGCUCUAUAACCCUUUGUGAACAUACCUAACUGUUGCUUCGGCGGGUUAGGGGGUCCCCCCGGGGACGCCCUCCCGGCCGCGCCCUCCUCCUCCGGGAGGGGUCGCGGCGCCCGCCGGAGGAUAACCAAACUCUGAUUUAACGACGUUUCUUCUGAGUGGCACAAGCAAAUAAUUAAAACUUUUAACAACGGAUCUCUUGGUUCUGGCAUCGAUGAAGAACGCAGCGAAAUGCGAUAAGUAAUGUGAAUUGCAGAAUUCAGUGAAUCAUCGAAUCUUUGAACGCACAUUGCGCCCGCCAGCAUUCUGGCGGGCAUGCCUGUUCGAGCGUCAUUUCAACCCUCAAGCUUCGCUUGGUGUUGGGGCACUACGGUUGACGUAGGCCCUCAAAAGUAGUGGCGGACCCUCCCGGAGCCUCCUUUGCGUAGUAACUAACGUCUCGCAUCGGGAUCCGGAGGGACUCUUGCCGUAAAACCCCC
rnacentral:rRNA from 1 species